CAGGCCUAGAAAAGAAUAACUUUCCCAACUAUAAAAUGUGUUAUUAUUGGAAGCAAAAAUAAAUGACAUUCAAAGGUACAUCCCUAGGGACACCUGCCAUGUCAGAGCAGCAGGUUUCAGGAAACUUGUAUUCGUCUAACCGUUAAAAUAUUAAGGAGAGAAACUCUGGAGGGGAGAGAAGAGAGAUUAAUGCUAUGAAAAAAAAAAUAUGGAACUUCAGUUUAGAUUCAAACCUCUAAAACAGGACAUAUUAUAAAAGCCUUUUCAAUCCUGAAUUACUUUCUAAGAAAAUGUUUUUAAAGGAACAUACUAGUAUAGUUUGUGCAUUUGAAAAGUUGAUUUUGUUAACAAUCUUAAGCUCUAGACUCCGAGAGUGUUUUCAGGUUAUUCAGGACUGUACAACGUCGCAGACAAAAGUAAUGAUACUUAUAUAAAUUCAAAUCGCUUUUCGGGUUUUCCUCCUAGGUCUGUGAUAUAUGUGGAAAAAUAGUAACUAUUUCACUAAGCAAUCUUCUAAAGUGUCCUCCAAUACACCCAAAGUUCCAAACCUUCUCGGAUUCAAACUGCUUCCCUAGCAACCGGAUUCCAUCUCUUAAGUUCUAUCUGGCGGUCUAGGUGUAUAGGUUCAAACCUAGGAAAAUGGGCCCCAAAUACCGUAAGGGGAAAAAAAAUUCCCUUUCUGGUUGUGAACUUUCCCUGUUGGUAAGUUCUCCUUUAAGAAAUGAACUGUUCCCUAUGAAUAUUUAAUGCUGUUUGUCUGAAGUAUCCAGAUGACGCGGACUGGAGCCUGCCUUACAUACAGAUAAAAUAUGGUUUCAUAUUUUGCUCAAAAUGAGACCGGUUUCCUGUCUGUGUAUCGAGUGGAAGAACAUCGUAAGGGAGAAGUAGCCACACAGGACGUGAAAGAGUCUCAGCAGGGCAAGAAAGUACCAGGGAUGGUUAGGGUGGAGCCAGGGAUCCCUGGAACACUCUGUCUUUGGCAUCAGUGCUCCCAGAAAGUAUAUUUCUGCUUGUAACCUAAAACAAGCCCAAACCAGCUACCUAACUGAAGUCAACUCCGAUCAACUUUCACAGUGCUACCACUACCCCCAGCCUGCCUGACAACAAGAAUUAGCUUGGAAGCUAAACCAAACCAACACCAGAAUCACCAACCCACAUCAUGCGAUCAGUUUGGAAAGCAGGGACUGGACCCUCUCCUAUUUCCCAACAGCCUCACCAAAAUGGAUAGAUUCUUAAAACCCAGCAGAUAUCAGAGUGCCAUUUAAAACCUAAGCACGUUUUUUGGAGCCUAAGGGAACAACUGACUGAAUUCAGUGUCUCAGGAAUUGGGUAUAUGACUGUAAGGUGUGUCAUCCUUUAAAGAUCUGUGUUACUAGUUUUGCAUGAAAGCUUUGUUACAGCUUUGUUAGCGUGCUUGAAUUCAGCCAAUCUUAUUCCUACCCCACCCUUUUUCUCCUCUUUAGAAAUGCCUGACUGAGUUAUUUUGAAGCUACCCUUUAAAUAUACUUUAUGGGAAAGUUGCAUACUCACUAUACACCAUGAUCUCCUUCCUUUGCUUGUUGCAAGUAAACUGGGUUUUUACUCCCAGACUAUUAACUGUGAAUAGCUGACUUUCCCUUGACAUAUAUGACUUAUGAAUGGGACUUCUGGUACUUUCACCACUACUGUUGAAUACUUCUCUCUCCACUCCCAUCCCCACGCCCACCCUCAACUCAUCCAAGCAAUAGUGGAGAUAAACAGAAAUAACCUGAUAUAGACAGACAUGAUAACCUAACUUGAUUUUUAAAAGUUUAGCAUCUUUUAACAACUAGCAACCAAUUUUUAAUCAUUCCACAAGUUCACUGUUCCAGAAGUUUAAAUAUGGAUUAUGAGGAUACAUAUUUUUUGGAGAAUUAGGAAUGAGUAUGAUAAUUGUAAGAUAACUUUGAAACUUGGAAAAUAGAGAUGUCUGAAUUAAGAAGUGAAUAUAUAUUGAUGUUGACUAAGUAUACAAUAAAAUACACAAUUUUCUAUAACCUGUAAGAUAGCUUUAGCCUAUUUCAAUUCAUUUUUCUAGGGUUUUCUUUACCAUUGAUAUAAGGGGGACAAAUGCAAUGCCUUUUAUUAAUCCCUCUCUGUCUCUGUCUCUUACAUUUACCAUAUGCACGGCACAAAUAUCAUCUUGGUUGUUUUUGCUCAGUUGUCCCAAAUUAUCGUAUAAUAUGAUUUAUAGUUAGGGAUGUCAUGUGCAAGUGGGUACCUCCUAUCUUAAGGCUUUUCCUUCCCUUGAAGCUAUAGUUAAAGCUUGAAAAACAAAAGAGAAAGGUAAUUGAUAUCCUUCUUUGUUCCUCUACCUCCUUAAACUAAUAAAGGGAAUCUGCCAAGGAAAGCUAGCCGAAACAUCUGCAUUUGUAAAUAAUACUGACUUCACAUCCUCCUAACCUCAGCAAUUAAAACAACUACUUACAAACAAUAAUAAAAACAACAACACCCAGGAUAAAAGUAAAGCUUUAGGCAGAUUUGUGCAUCUAAUUAAGCUUAGGACCAG
ensembl:lncRNA